rnacentral:rRNA from 1 species
AGAGUUUGAUCCUGGCUCAGGACGAACGCUGGCGGCGUGCUUAACACAUGCAAGUCGAGCGGAAAGGCCCACUUGUGGGUACUCGAGCGGCGAACGGGUGAGUAACACGUGAGUAAUCUGCCCUUCACUCUGGGAUAACGUUCAGAAAUGGGUGCUAAUACCGGAUGUGCACAUGGUCUCGCAUGGGGUUGUGUGGAAAGAUUUUUUGGUGGGGGAUGUGCUCGCGGCCUAUCAGCUUGACGGUGGGGUAAUGGCCUACCGUGGCUUUGACGGGUAGCCGGCCUGAGAGGGUGACCGGCCACACUGGGACUGAGACACGGCCCAGACUCCUACGGGAGGCAGCAGUGGGGAAUAUUGGACAAUGGGCGGAAGCCUGAUCCAGCAACGCCGCGUGAGGGAUGACGGCCUUCGGGUUGUAAACCUCUUUCACCAUUGACGAAGCUGCAUCUUUUUGGGUGUGGUGACGGUAGGUGGGGAAGAAGCACCGGCCAACUACGUGCCAGCAGCCGCGGUAAUACGUAGGGUGCGAGCGUUGUCCGGAAUUAUUGGGCGUAAAGGGCUCGUAGGCGGUUUGUCGCGUCGGGAGUGAAAUCAUCUGGCUUAACUGGGUGCUUGCUUUCGAUACGGGCAGACUAGAGGUAUGCAGGGGAGAACGGAAUUCCUGGUGUAGCGGUGAAAUGCGCAGAUAUCAGGAGGAACACCGGUGGCGAAGG